AUGAUUGCAACGACGGUGUAUGAGAGGCCGCAGUCGCCAAGCUUCGCUUUCUUCAUAAAAGUAUCGAGACCGGUAACGUUGAAUUCACCAUUCCCGUCGAUUAGCUGAGUCGCACAACGGCACAGCCACACAAGCCUCUUUGGAAGAUUUCCUUUGAGAGAAGACUUGAAGACUUGGCUUAUGCCUGGCCGCGACAGCUAGUUGGUGAUUUUCUAUUGGCACUUUCUUGGGUUUUUUUCUUGUUUACUCAUGGCACAACUAUCUUCUUUUCCCAUAACUAAGAUUCUAAUACUGAUUAUGUUAUGUGUAUACAGUAUAUUGCCCCUCUGCUCUGCUCGACUGCUCUGAAUUCCGAUUUAUUGGGUCCUGGAGGCUGGAGGUAAAAUUAUAUUCCCUUUAUAUGUGAUCAGAUUUAUCAUUUAUGGGUUUUUGUUUCCUUUUUGUUUUGGGGUUAAUAUAUAUGAUUAAUGAUAUAAUGAUACUCUGGUAAAGUUUCUGUCUUUGGGUUUAGAGAAAUAAUAUUUUUGAUUGAUAGAUUGAUUCGUCUUGUUUAAACAACUCUACGUGUUUUUACAGUCACGAUAGAAAGAGCAUUUUCAGCUAUAAAAUAUGUUAAAAUUGCUCUUCGCAAUAAAAUGAAAGAGGAGUUUUUAGCAGAUUCUAUAAUGAUUUACAUUGAACGAGAACUUCUUGAAGAUAUCGAUUCAGAUUCCAUAAUAGACGAAUUCUAUUCUACAAAGCAUAGAAGGAUGCAACUUAAAUAGUGUGUUUUAUUUUCUUUUUUUCUUGUAUGUUAUGUACCUUUGAACCUUACUACUAUGUAUGAUUUUGAAUUUGUGAUUGAUCUUGGUGAGACAAUUUUUUGGUAGCCCAGUAAAAAAUUAAUUUCUAACUCCACCCUUGUUUAUGUUACCUUUGUUAUGUGAUAGUAGCAUUAUAUACAAUGCGGCAGGCGAAACAUGCAAGUUACAACGCUGAUGAUAGAAUGAUGUGUCUACUUUCUCAUGGAUGUAAAAUAAUAAUGUAACUACUAUAAUUUAUAAUACUAUUUUAUUUUUAUUGUUAGUAUUAUGUAAAUUUAAAAUUAAAAGAAAAGAAAAAGGAAAUUAUUCUCUCAAUACGUGAUAUAUUAGUAAACACGCAAGUAGUAUAAUUCAUUCAUUCAUUCAUUCUAAAAGAUAACGAUUUCUGUGACUAAUACUACUAGUACUGGCUACUGCAGUUGGAUUGAUUAGAUAAGAUAUUAUGCAUGCAACAAAUUUAAAGAUAAGGUUUUGUCCACCAUCAUCUCCAUCUCUACGCUCCUCCUACGUACGUACAUACAUAUAUAAGUACGUAUGUAGGUACACCCUACUAUAUAUGUAAACUCUCUACCAACUCCUCUACGAUCCGUUCUUUAAUAUAAGUCUAAUAUUUUCGUCUCUUAAUAUAAAUUAUUUAAUUUUUAAUAUUAUUCAAGUACUACUCUGUUAAAUAUAAUUUUGAUUUUAUGUCUUAUAAAUAAUAAUAUCUUUUUUUAAUACAAAGACAAGUAAUAAUAUCAUAUUUAAAACUAUACAUACAUACAUACAGUAUACAUAUAUGCAUACGUAUGUAGUGUCACCCACCCCAAAGUUAUACUAGUAUCUUCUCUUCUUCUUCGGUGAUUAACUGUAUACUACUAGUAGUAGUACUAUAUAAGAUUCCCUUACCAUAAAUUUUGCAUCUAUAUAUCUAUAUCUAUCGUUCUUUAAUAAGAGAAAUCAAUUAAAAACAGAAAAGGGAAAGUGAGUCAGUACUACCUUAUCAUCCAUUUUGUUUUUCUUAAGAUAAUUUCUAAAUUUUAAAAUUGAUAUUAUUUCAUUUUAGUCCUAAUAUAACAAUGAAUGAUAUUCCUAUCCCUUGUAAUUAAUACUAUAAGAUAUUUGUAUUAAUUACAAAUUUCUUUCAUUUAUUUAAAAAAUCAAAAUAUAUCUUCAAUUUUAGAAAGAGAGAAACAAAAUAAGAUACUAAAUAUUAAUUACAAAUUAAUUUCUUUCAUUUAUCUAAAAAGUCAAAAUAUACCCCGACCCAUCUUUUAAUUUUAAAAAGAGACGAGUGUUAUGAUUUCUUCUUCGAUCCUCUAACAAGAAUAACAAACAAAGAGUAGAAAGAGAAAUUAAAGCACUAAAUAUUACUCCGUAAUUGCAAAUUGAGUGACAACAUGAUGGAGUCAACCAAACAACAUGCAUGACCCACAUUGCCCCCCCUAGGCUCUAGCAGCGAUCCAUUUUCAUCAUCAUCUUGAUCACCAAAGUGACAAAUUCUAAUUAACAAAACAUACUACUAGAAUUAAACAUCAAAAUUAGUCUCAAAUCUUAAUUUCACACCCUAAAGCAGCCGAUGUGGUUGUGGUGGUGGUGGUGUUGGUGGUCCCUAUCAAUCAUACUCCGAACGUUACGAAACUGGUCGACACGGCAGGGAAUGAUGAUUGGGCCUUUGUGAUCAAACCCGUACUCUUCCUCGGCCUCUUUUAGCAACUGCAUGAAGAGCGGGUGAUUGAAGUAAAUGACGGGCACCACAAAUCUCUCUUUUUCUUCCCCCUGCCCAACCUUCACUGCCAAACACCCCUUCGGCACAUCGUCUCCAACUCUCACUUGCUGCUGCUGCUUUCCUCUUCCGCCCAUCUAAUCUAUCUAUCUAUCUGCAAUUAACUCACAACAAAACAAAAAAGAAAAGAUUUUUUUAUUAUUAAGAAUAUAUAUAUAUAUAUAUAUAUAUAUAUAUGAUGAUCGAUCAGAAUGGACAAGGUUCAACAGUUAUGGCUUGUUUGGGGAGGGAACAAGGAAUAAUGUUGGUCAUGGCCGUGGACAACAUGAAUAGCGGCGCGCUGCAAUAUUUUUUUACAGAGACUGCAAACUAUAUAUAUACGGCUUUAUAUAUUUCUACAAAUAAAAUAUACACAACAUCUAUCUCUCUCUAUAUAUUUAUAUAUACCGCUAGUAGGGUUUCUGUUGUUUAUAUAUAUAUAUAAUAAAAUAAUAAAUAAACAAUUACUACCACCCUUUGGUGUGUGUUUUGUGGCGUUAUGACGGAACUGGGAGUGGCAAGGUUGUAAAUUUGGGUGGGAGGAACGGAAAUUAAGACACGUGGAGAGUGGAGUGGCAUAGGGGAGGACACGUGGAAUUGGAAAAUCUACUAUCUAUUAUAUAUACUAAAUCACAUUACAUGACACCAUAUAUUGACAAAUGUCCUUCUACAAAUUCAACACUUGUCCAUCUUAAAUAGUUUUAAUUAUGUCACAAUUAUCUUAAUUAUAUCCUAUCCUUUUUUAAAUUAUGAAAAAAUAAUAACAAAUCAAUUAUCUUAAUUAUAUCCUAUCUUUUUUUAAAUUAUGGAUAAAUAAUAACAAACUAAGUAGAAUUUAAUCUCUUCAACAACUAAUGAGCACAAUUUUAUAUGGAUAAAACUUCUUAACUGAAUACGUAUAUUAAUCAGGCUAAUUAUUUAUUCUCAUAAGUGAAUAAAAACCAUGACUUCUUCUUCUUCUUCUUUCACGGUCAAUUUUCCUUUUUUUUUCGUUUUGUCUCUCUGUCUUUCUUCUACUUAUGUCAUUCACGUUUCCAUUAUAUACACACAUUAUUACUUACAUGUUACAGCCAUAUGCAGGAGUGUGAAACAUAACCCAGAAGCGGGUGGAAUUAUUUCAUUGGUUUGCCUAUUUUCUAAAUUUUUAGAUAUUAUGUGCUAAAAUUUGAGAUUAUUGCAUUUGCAUUUAGUUGCUGAUAUGCGGAAUAAUGUUUGCAAUUGAUUUGAUUGAUCUGAUAUUUGUGUUGUCAAUCGUGUUUAAUUGAAAAUUUUGGUGGGUUUUCGAUUGGAAAGUUUGUGUUUAGAUUAGAGCUAUUCACGUUUCUUAUAUCAACAGUAAGGAACUGGGUUUAUUUCUUAAUUUGAUUAUUUAGUAUCUUCAUUUUAAGUAUGUAUUUUGGUUUUGUUAAUAUUAUAAAUAAACACAAACAUGUAAGUAUGCAUGUAAAUGAUGAGGACAUGAGGUAUUUUAUUGGUAUGGCCUGUAGAGUUUUGGUUCUAAUCCACACUCCCGAGUCCCGUGUACAAAUUUACUUUUUAAUUGUUGCCUUUAUUUAGUACAAAUUUACUCUUUUAGACUCUUUUAGACUUAAUCGUUUUAAAUGCGUUAUGGUCUUCUUUUUUUUUUGACUUAUCUCUAAUCUGAUUAUACUAUUUGAUCAUCGCACAAUAAUAUACUAUUUUCUUAUUAUAUUUUAAUUUAUUAAUUAUACGCACAUAUUUAUUAUUAAAAAUUUGAAUAAUCCCGCCGCAACGCAAUAUGUAUCUUAAGACCACAUUUAUACAUUCUUACAAUGUCAAAUUAACUUAAUUGACACAUGUAAAUACAUCAUUAGGUCUUGGGAUUCAAUGAUAAAAAUGUUAAAUUUCAGUUGAAUAUAUUAAAAAAAUACACAUGUUUUAACAGAAAAUAUAAUUCAAUAAUUCUAUUAACACUCAACAAUAACUAAGGAUCACUUUUCCUCUAAAGAAGUUCCAAUUAUGGCCAAGAAACAUAUGUGACUGGCUAGCAUGCAUGGGUAGAUGGAAUUUGAGACUUGAAUAUAUCUUAGAUCAAUAAGACACUAGUCUUACUAAGAUUCUCAUUUCUCUGAGACAGAAAAGAGUGGGGUGGGGGAUAGAGCUGAGCAGGCAGAGAAUAUCAAAUUUUGUUGGGCAUUGAGUUUUUGCAAAAACAUUAUUGGGGAAAAGAAAUGCAUGCGGUAGCUGCUAGUGGUAGUAGUUAGCAAAUAAAAUGAAGGAAAUUAAGGAGAGUUAAGAGAGGAGACAAAAGGAAGGAAGGUAGGUACGCACGUAAUGCAAAAUAAAGCAGUCGGCAUAUGCGAACAGCAGCCAACCAACUAGCUAUGGCCUAUGGCGCCGGCCAUAACAAGAAUUAUUUCCGCGCGGCUAACCAACCGAGAAAAAUGUUGAAAUACUAUUAUACUUAUAAAAGUGAGUUAUCAAUAGAAUUAGUACGAGUAGUAGUAGUAGAAGUAUUUCUGAAGAAAAAGAGCGGUGGGGUUAUUAUAACAUCAUUGAACCAAAAUGAUUGCUUGGCUAGGGUGGUUAUUAAUUAAUUUUUGAAUAAGGCAGGCAGGCAGGCAAAGAAAGAAAGAAAUGAUUACCCAAACAUCCACUAUGGGCGGCUUGGAGAUGAAAUAUUCAGUCCAUCCAAAGUGGGGGGAUAGACAUAGACAAUGUUUUCAACAAAGCAAUAACCGAUAAUAUGAAUGAAGUAAAUGUUUCUCUUUAUUUGACUUUCCUUUUACCACAUUACUAUAAAUUAAAGAUGAAAACAAACCAACUUCCGACCGUCCGUUAGCUACUUAGCUUGAAUAAGGAAAACUUUAUCCUUCCUCAACACAAAAUUAUAAGAUUAUUAUCCACUUUUUAAACUCAAAUUAAAAUAUUUUCAAACUUUAAUUUCAGAUGAUUUAUUCAAAAAUUAUUAAAUAAUAAAUCUUACAAUAAAAUAGUAUUUGUUAGAUAUUUCACGAUAUUCAUCAUUAUAUUGAUUAUAUUUUAAAAAGUCUGUCAAUUUUGAUGAAAAAAAUACUUUUAACUUAAUUUUAAAAAAUCAAUAAUGACCUUAUACUAUACAACGUAGAAAAUACUAUAUAUAUAAAAGGAAAAAAAACAGACGAGUCCAUACUAUUCUAGCAUAGGUAAAAUGAGAAGUGUGAUAAUAUUUUCCAGACGCCUAAGAUUUGAAUCAUGUGUAAAUAUCUAUAUUGAAAUUCGGUAUGUGCACAUUUAGAAGGGAUUGAAUAAGUAUAUCUGUUUUAAUGCUAUAAUAAUAACAUUUUUAAAUUUUCUGUUAAAGAACCAUCCAGACAUAUUAUAAUCUGUCUGUUUAAAUGUUUAUAUAAACCUGUUAUACAAAAUCUUCUUUAACUUAUUCAGACAAAUUAGAACCUUUCUACUUAUGUAUUUAUUUAAACCUGUUACGCUGAGCCUGUUACAAAUUAGUGCAUCUUACUUGGUCAAAGUCUGUUACUAUUUUUUAGGCUUAGACUAAGUCAGUAUUAGCUAUCAAAUAAAGAGUAUUUUAGUCUAUCAAAAUCUCUAUGCAGAGUAGAUUUUAUGCAAAGUAGUUACAUGUUUUUAGAAGUAAUUGUAAUGUUCUUAUCUAUAAAUUCUAGUAGCCUGAUGUAAUUCUUUUAUGCUUGAAUAAAAGUAUUUCACUUUUUUAUCUCCAAUUAAUUUCUCAGAUGGUAUCAAAGCAUCACUGAGGUUCUUCCUUUUCAUUUUUAUUGUCUAUCAAGUUCAUCUUAUUGAAGAAGUUUGAAGCUCAAAAAUGGAAGGGGUUGGAGGAAGCAGUUCUAACGUGCAACAUGGCAUGGAGAAAUUUGUAGGAACAAACUACAUGUAAGACCCCA
rnacentral:lncRNA from 1 species